CUCCUUUCGUGCUGGUUUGUGCUU
rnacentral:siRNA from 1 species